rnacentral:piRNA from 1 species
UACUUUUGAGCAUCGCCGUCUACUCGUCCU